ACUCCUACGGGAGGCAGCAGUGGGGAAUCUUGCGCAAUGCGCGAAAGCGUGACGCAGCAACGCCGCGUGAGGGAAGACGGCCUUCGGGUUGUAAACCUCUUUCAGGAGGGACGAAGGUUCAGGCGCGAAUAGCGUCCUGGACUGACGGUACCUCCAGAAGAAGCUCCGGCUAACUACGUGCCAGCAGCCGCGGUAAUACGUAGGGAGCAAGCGUUGUCCGGAAUCAUUGGGCGUAAAGCGCGCGUAGGUGGCCCGGUAAGUCCGCUCUGAAAGUCACAGGCUCAACCUGUGAAAGCGGGUGGAUACUGCCGGGCUAGAGUCCGGAAGAGGCGAGUGGAAUUCCUGGUGUAGCGGUGGAAUGCGCAGAUAUCAGGAGGAACACCAACGGCGAAGGCAGCUCGCUGGGACGGUACUGACACUGAGGCGCGAAAGCGUGGGGAGCGAACAGGAUUAGAUACCCUGGUAG
rnacentral:rRNA from 1 species